GAUUUCGGGUAAUCGCGGUCUACCUUGAGUAGGCUGAGGAAAGUCCAGGCUUGCACAGGCUGAGAUGCCUGUAGUGAUCGUACUUACUGAAAAAAUAAGGUAAGGCACCAAUUGGUGACGGCGGAUAAAAGAGCUAAGGGAAACUAUGCUUGAGUAGUCCUGAAAAGUGCCACAGUGACGAAGUAAUGUUGGAAACGGCAUUAGUGGAACGCGGUAAACCCUGCGAGCAGGUAACCCAAACUUUGGUAGGGGCGCUUCAUGACGGAAAUGAACAAAUCAUGGGGGCGAGUGAAAACUCGGAGAUAGAUGAUUACCACCGAGAUCGGUACCUGACCGGUCGACGUACGGAACUUGGCUUAUAGAG
rfam:Lactobacillus agilis DSM 20509 NODE_275, whole genome shotgun sequence.